UCAAUUGCUUAAUACCUUUUGGUUAUAAAUAAUUGUUAGUGGCAGACGGGUGAGUAAUGCGUAGGAAUCUACCUAGUAGUAUGGAAUAGCCAUUAGAAAUGAUGGGUAAUACUGUAUAAUCCCUGCGGGGGAAAGAUUUAUCGCUAUUAGAUGAGCCUACGUUAGAUUAGCUAGUUGGUAAGGUAAUGGCUUACCAAGGCUAUGAUCUAUAGCUGGUCUGAGAGGACGAUCAGCCACACUGGAACUGAGAUACGGUCCAGACUCCUACGGGAGGCAGCAGUGGGGAAUAUUGGACAAUGGGCGAAAGCCUGAUCCAGCUAUGCCGCGUGAGUGAAGAAGGCCUUCGGGUUGUAAAACUCUUUCAAUAGGGAAGAUAAUGCCGGGUACCUAUAAAA
rnacentral:rRNA from 1 species